GGGUCGGGCGCGAGCCGUCGGGCAGCCCGUUCAACUCGAUCGUUCAGCUCGAGCGCGAGCGCGGCAUCCCGCGCAAUCCCUUUAUCAAUGCCGGUGCCAUUGCGGUCACCGAUGCCAUUCUGUCUGGACAUCAGCCGCGGGAAACGCUGGGUGAAAUCCUCAGGUUCAUGCAGUUCCUGUCGGGGGACUCGUCGAUCAAGAUCGACGAGUCCGUUGCUGCGUCGGAGCAGCGCACCGGUUUUCGCAAUAUCGCGCUUGCGAAUUACAUGAAGUCGUUCGGCGU
rnacentral:misc_RNA from 1 species